rnacentral:rRNA from 1 species
UACGGAGGAUGCAAGCGUUAUCCGGAAUUAUUGGGCGUAAAGCGUCCGUAGAUGGUUUUGCCAGUCGGCUGUCAAAGCACAGGGCUUAACCCUGUAAAGGCAGUGGAAACUACAAGACUAGAGUGCAGUAGGGGCAGAGGGAAUUCCCAGUGUAGCGGUGAAAUGCGUAGAGAUUGGGAAGAACAUCCGUGGCGAAAGCGCUCUGCUGGACUGCAACUGACAUUGAGUGACGAAAGCUAGGGGAGCGAAUGGG